rnacentral:tRNA from 1 species
GCCGUAGUAGCUCAGCUGGUAGAGCGGUACAUUCGUAAUGUAUAGGUCGGGGGUUCAAAUCCCUCCUACGGCA